rnacentral:lncRNA from 1 species
ACCAAACGUUAGCCAAGGCGCCGGGCUGGCCUCUCCAACCCAAGUCUCCCCCUGGAGCCAGGGGUGCAUGGUACGUACUCUGAGAGCCUUUUUUUUCUUCUUGUUUUGGGGAUCGAGGAAACCCAGCUGAUAUGGCUGGAGGAGGCCCCAUCUUCAGGAAGAUAUUUGACCAGCUCUUUGGUGUUUGGUCUUAACAGAGACAAGAUUUUGUGAAAACCAUAUGGGGACUUUAACUGUGUCUUCCUACAGGAUUUCACAGGGUUAUUCUCUGAAUUCUUCUAAGGUCUGUAAUUGCAGGAGAAACUAACUCCUCUGCCAGUUGUAGCUCAGAAUGAAGUGAGAGAACAGACAGAGACUCUCAAUUCUAUUAGCGGUCUCUCUCCCAUUGGGGCUGGGCAGCCUCUUGGUUGGAUUUUACCUUGUUCAUAAUUCUGGAGUAAGUCUCAGCACAGGACAAUAAUUUCACUCAACUUAUUUUCCGCACGUAGUUCAAAAUCGUUUCCUCCAGGAAGUCUUUCCUGGCUUACUCUUUCCAUUGGAUUACUUCUUACUACUGUAGCCAUUGUUUAGAAUGUUUAUUGGAUGGAUUUGUAUGUUGCACUGUGCUUUUAAGUCAGUGGGUGGGUGCAUGUGAGUGUAGAAUGUGCACUUCUUGGCUGCUUCUUAGCUUCCAGGGGUUAUUCACACAUAUACACACACACAUAAGCACACACACUAUCCUUGUGUGUGUAUGUUUGUAUAUUGUGUCUAUUUCUGUGCAUAUAUGUAUAUGUAGCUGUGUGUACUGUAUAUUUACAUAUGUUUCAUAUACAAUGAUUUAUUAUGUACCAAACAUUGGACCAAAUGCCUUACAAUACAAUGAAGUAGGUUCUCUUAUUUUCACCUACAUUUUACAUGUAAGAAAACUGCAGUGCAGAGAGAGAAGUAAUUUGUCCAGUGUCACUCAGCCAAGCUAUGGGUGAGGCCAGGCUUUAUCCCUGAUGGUCUGAUCUUGCUCUUGAUACCAGCCUCUGAAAAUUACCCAGAUGUGUCACAUGCCUCAGGGAGGACCCUGUUUUCAACUGAGACCAUUAACGCAUUUAUGGCUAACACAAGGUAGGUGCGGGGAUAGGAGGAGAUAGGCUGUGGAUGGUGGGGAUGGAGAAAAAGAUGGAAACUAAGUUCUGUCUUCCCUUCCUUAGGACAUUGAUUGCCUGCCACAUGCAAGAUUGGGUCCAGGUGCUGAAGAAACACAGAUGUGCUGCAUCCUUGACUUUAAGGAGCAUCCCUGGGUUGGAGGGAUUCUCUGCAGGCUGCUGUGGUGGAGGGAAGAUUUGCCCAACUUACUCUUGGCGCUGGACCCCCUGAGCCAUCUUCACACACCCAGGUGAACUUUGGGAAGGUAACAGCUUUUCAGUUGCAAACCCAAGUGAAUUAGAGCAAAACAGAUCCCACGUGCUUGACACAUGGAAACUUUCAGAGCCAAUGGUUUAUAAACUUACCAAGAGCUGGGGGAGUAAACACAUCCCAGGGAACUGUGGAGCACUUCUCUGGCAUUGAUACACAUAAGCAGAAAGCACAGCCUUCCCCGACACUUGCCUUAAGAUAGUCUUUUGUCUUAGAACCCAGAGGCUUACCUGAGCUAAACCACAUAAAGUGCUUAGUGCGAUGCCUUGAACAUACCAAGCUCUUAAUAAACGCUAAGGUCACUAUUAGCAUUGCUUGUCAUGGAAUAAACCUAGGAUACAUCUAUAAAACUGUCCAUAAUCUUCCUUGCCUUGUGGAAAGUUGUUCCACUAUUCCAACAUCCUUUUAGGGGUUCUCAGCUAAUCUACCUUUCAAAACGAAAAUUUAUUAUACACUUCUUAAGUGCUAGGUAGUUUUGUAUAUUUAUGUGUAUUAUCUCAUUAAAUGAUCUCUCAGCCCUCUGAGAAAAGCACUAUUAUCAUCCAUAUUUCACAGAUGAAGAAAUCGUCAGAGUUUCCAUAUAUCAUUGUCAGAGAUGUUAAGCAACUUGCUUAAGGUUACACAGCCUUAGCAGAAGUACUUGUUUGACUCCAAAGCCUACCAUUAUGCUGGAAUCACUAGAAUCCAGGUGGCCUAUCUGAACCCGGAUUCAGGCAUCUGAAGCUGAAUAGCUGCCAUUCUUGCUUUUAACCUCCUGGUAAAAGCAGGCUAUGCCUGAUCUAUCUAUCUAUCUAUCUAUCUAUCUAUCUAUCUAUCUAUCUAUCUAUCAAUCAUCUAUCUAUCUGUCUAUCUAUCUAUCUAUCAUGGCCUGGCUAUGCCACAUCUAUAUUCCAUGAUGUCCACUGACCAGAGGGUUUCCCUUAUCCAAUCCAUACAUGUGCCAAUAAACAAACAUUUAGUGAGCACCAACAUAGUUGCUUCUCUCCUAUAAUCAACACAGGAAUGGUUAAGUUUGGAAUAAAUUACUUUUCCUAACACUUGCAUAGGACUGGACUGUUUGCUUUCAAAUACUUGGUUUUGCUUCAUGCUCACAACUCUGGGAUAUAGGAAUGAUUAUUUUCAUUUCACAGCUGCAAGAACCAAGCUCAAAGAGGAACUGCUGCUUGCCAAAGUUUCACAGAUAGAAAUGGGGGAGCUGGGGCCAGAACCCAGCUCUGCUGACACCAAGCCCAGAGUUUGUACCAUGACACUGGGCUGCUCCCUCGGAGCUGGGUUUGGCUGAUGACCUCAACUCUGAGCACCCGUUGCCUCCCACUGUUCCGUUCAGGCCUGUGCGAGAAAGACUCCCAGGCCCCUGGGUUCUCCAUAGCCCACACUUCCACUCGGCUCCGCUUCUCUUGCCCAGCUGUCUCUCCUCCAAGGAGCGGACAGGGCGGACACGAGACCCGGGUGCCCUUUUGUCCUCUAUUCCAGCUCUGGGCGGAUCCUCCUCCCAUGAUGUGGAUGAUGCUGAGGAGAAAGUGGAAGACGGGUCUGAAGAAGCAAGGACUGGCAAGUCUGAUCCCCCACUCUGAUUCUCAUUGCUGAAUGUCUGGGUCUUCCUUGUGUACCUGCUGGGGUGGGAGACUGCUCGCAGCAUACCUGGCCUAUGACAUGCCUAGCUCUCUGGGGUGGAUCUUGGACAGGAAGACUGCUUCUGCCAGAGUAAAGAAUAUGACGGAGCUCCUCAUCCGAUGGAGCCUCUGGGAAGAGGCGAAGAGCCAGCUGGAAGCCUGGUGGGCCUCCGCUGCCAGCAGGACAGAUGCAUCAAGUCAGGUUUAUGGGAGAAGUCUUCCCAGACCACUAUGUCCAAACUUCUGUCCAUCCUGCUAUAACCUCUCCAGUUAGAUGGAUGAAAACCAGACCAGUCAGCCAUGGACCAGAGCUGCAAAGAUAAGAACCCAAAGAAGAAACAAAUGGUGUAGCAUUAAGUAUUUCUUUCCACUUGAGCAGAAAAAUCGGAGACUAAGGGAACUGGAGGAGUGUGGCCUUUGAAUGAGACUUGAGGUGGUGAGACAGCAAGUGAACGUGGGGAUACUUGCUCAGAGCUUUGCUAGAAUACCUCAUGGUUUACUGGACCUAGGACCUUCUUGAUAUAGAAAUGACCAUAAAAAGAAAGCAGACAGAUUCCCAUGAAGAAAAAGUGACCUCUCCUCUGAAUUCCAUGCUUGGAAAAGUACUUAUUUAAAGGAAGGAAAAAAGUCUCCAAAGCAAAACCUGGCUUGUUUAGAUAACUUGGUCUAGGAACAUGGCGGAAGCUGAACCCAAGAACAUGCCUGCACAGUGCAACUUCUGGGUGGGAGUCAGUUGUCUUUUCUGAGUUCCCUGGACCUGAGAGUGUGACACUGAGACCAGGGGUGUGGAGAAAUCUAUCUCAUAUUUAUGACAUGUGGUGGGAUCUUUACUGAGCAUUUCAACCCAUCCUGUAGUAAAGAGUGCUGAAUCAUGGUGGGUCACCCUUCUAGACUAGAGACAGCCUGGGUGGGUUCACUGGAACCAGCCAAAAUGGCCACAGGACCAGCUUGAGUCUCCACUACAAAGGGCAGGUGAGGGGAGCAGGAGGUAGAACGUUCACAGGACAGGACGAUCAGGAGCAGAGAGUUGCUCUAAGAUAUGAGCACCAGAUGGGGAAAUUUAACAGAGUGGACUGUAGAGUCACUUGGAAGGAAAAAUGGAAGAGGAUUUUAUAUUACAGCUGCUGUCAAUGGUUCUAACCUUGUAGAAAUCUAUAGGUAAAAAUAUUGUGAAAUUACAUAUGCCCUUUGUUUUCACUUAGUUUUUAAUUUCGCUUACUCUAAUUACUAGCUUUUCAAUAUAGGUUUAAAAAGCAGUUAUCAGAUUUUUAUUAAUUAAGAUAGAAGAAAUCUUUUCUCAUAGACUAUUUAGUUUUUUAUUUUGAAAUUAUGUUAAACUUAUAGAAAAAUUUACAAAAAUAGUACAGAGAGUUCCUGUAUAUCCUUCAACUAGCUUUCCCUAGUGUUACUGUCAUACUUAACAAUAAUACAUUGAUCAUAAAUAAGAAAUGAACAUUGGUACGACACUAUGGGCCUAACUACAGACGUUAUUCCACUAGUAUCCUUUUUCUGGCUCAGGAUCCAAUUCAGGAUCUCAAAUUGCCUUUAGUUAUCACGACUCCCUAGUCUCUUCCAAUCUGUAAUUGUCCCAAAUUUUUCUUGACAACUUCAACAUAUGUUUUUAAAACUUUUUAUUUUGAGAUAACUUUAAAUUCACAUGCAGUUGCAGGAAAUAAUACAGAGAGAUCCCUAUAUUCCUCACCUAGUUUCCCCCAUUGGUAACAUCUCAAUAACUAUGGCAUAAUAUCACAACUUGGAAAUUCACAUUGAUGAGGUACAUGGAUCUUCUUCAGAUUUCACCAGUUUCACAUGGACCUGUGUGUAUCAGUGUGUGUGUGUGUGUGUGUGUGUGUCUGUUUGUAUCAGUUCUGUGCAGUUUUAUCACAUGUGUAGAUUCAUAUGGCCACUACCAGAGAACAGUUCUAUCACAAGGACCCCCAGUGCUACCCUUCUAUAGCUAUUUCCGUUUAUCCCCAGCUCCCAAUCCCUGGCAGCCAUUAAUUUGUUCUCUAUCUCUAUAGUUUUGUCAUUUCAAGAAUAUCAUAUAAAUAGAGUUAUACAGUAUGUAAUCUCUUGAGAUUGGCUUUUUUUCACUCAGCCUAAUUUUCUUGAGAUCCAUCCAUGUUGUUGCAUUGGUCAAUAAUUCAUUCAUGUUUCUUGCUAAGUCGUACUCCAUGGUUUGAUGGACCAGUUUGUUUAGGCAUUCAAUUGUCGAAGGACAUUUGCACAACCUCAGUUCUUUUGAAGUCAGUUUUUGUAGAAUGUCUUUUGAUUUGAGUUGGUCUGAUGUUUUCACAUAUUUAGAUCAUGGCA